ACUUUGUACUACCAAAAAUAGGCAAUCUUCCAUUGAAACCUCGUGACUGCCACAUUCUCUUCAAGUGCCCCCAUUCCUUAUUGUGAAAUUCUUCUCAAGUAUCAAACCCCUUAUUUCUUCAUCUUCUAGUUGAAAACAAUCAACACUUUUUUUGAAUGAUCAUUUGAUUACUGUUAAGGAUUAAGCUUCGCAGGCUGGAUACUAGACUUUCCAAAUUCCUUGAAUUCACGGAAGGCCCAAGUCUUAACUAAUGGGCUUUAGCCAUGUGAAGGCCCAUCAAACCUUUCAAGACUCAUCAAUAUCCAAAGAAGAAAUAUGUAACCACUAUGUAUAUAGAUGAUGUUUCAAUAAAAAAUGUUGUUAUUUAUUAUUAUUAUUAUUUAAGAAUCAAUAAAAUUAAUUUACUCCCGGCUAA